CCCCAAAACCGGAAUCUUUC
rnacentral:tRNA from 1 species